UACGGAGGAUGCGAGCGUUAUCCGGAUUUAUUGGGUUUAAAGGGUGCGUAGGCGGACUGUCGAGUCAGCGGUAAAAUUGAGAGGCUCAACCUCUUCCCGCCGUUGAAACAGGUGGUCUUGAGUGGAUGAGAAGUACGCGGAAUGCGUGGUGUAGCGGUGAAAUGCAUAGAUAUCACGCAGAACUCCGAUUGCGAAGGCGGCGUACCGGCAUCCAACUGACGCUGAGGCACGAAAGCGUGGGGAUCAAACAGG
rnacentral:rRNA from 1 species